AAUCGCCUACGGGGGGCAGCAGUGAGGAAUAUUGGUCAAUGGGCGCAAGCCUGAACCAGCCAAGUCGCGUGAGGGAAGACGGCCCUACGGGUUGUAAACCUCUUUUGCCGGGGAGCAAGCCUGAGCACGUGUGCCCAGGCGGAGAGUACCCGGAGAAAAAGCAUCGGCUAACUCCGUGCCAGCAGCCGCGGUAAUACGGAGGAUGCGAGCGUUAUCCGGAUUUAUUGGGUUUAAAGGGUGCGCAGGCGGGCUGAUAAGCCGGCGGCAAAAAUCACGGGCUAAACC
rnacentral:rRNA from 1 species